rnacentral:rRNA from 1 species
UACGGAGGGUGCAAGCGUUAUCCGGAUUCACUGGGUUUAAAGGGUGCGUAGGUGGGCAGGAAAGUCAGUGGUGAAAUCUCCGGGCUUAACCCGGAAACUGCCGUUGAUACUAUUUGUCUUGAAUAUUGUGGAGGUAAGCGGAAUAUGUCAUGUAGCGGUGAAAUGCUUAGAUAUGACAUAGAACACCGAUAGCGAAGGCAGCUUGCUACACAAUUAUUGACACUGAGGCUCGAAAGCGUGGGGAUCAAACAGG